UGGGGAAUAUUGGACAAUGGGCGAAAGCCUGAUCCAGCCAUGCCGCGUGUGUGAAGAAGGUCUUCGGAUUGUAAAGCACUUUAAGUUGGGAGGAAGGGCAGUAAGCGAAUACCUUGCUGUUUUGACGAUACCGACAGAAUAAGCACCGGCUAACUCUGUGCCAGCAGCCGCGGUAAUAUAGAGGGUGCAAGCGUUAAUCGGAAUUACUGGGCGUAAAGCGCGCGUAGGUGGUUCGUUAAGUUGAAUGUGAAAGCCCCGGGCUCAACCUGGGAACUGCAUCCAAAACUGGCGAGCUAGAGUAGGGCAGAGGGUGGUGGAAUUUCCUGUGUAGCGGUGAAAUGCGUAGAUAUAGGAAGGAACACCAGUGGCGAAGGCGACCACCUGGGCUCAUACUGACACUGAGGUGCGAAAGCGUGGGGAGCAAACAGG
rnacentral:rRNA from 1 species